rnacentral:rRNA from 2 species
AACCGCGGUUAUACGAAAGGCCUAAGUUGAUGAAUAGCGGCGUAAAGCGUGGUUAGGGAACCUCUACACUAAAGUUGAACCCCUUCCUAGUCGUUUAAAACUUAUGAAGGUGAGAAAUACACCUACGAAAGUGACUUUAUACCCCUGACCCCACGAAAGCUAGGAUA